rnacentral:piRNA from 3 species
UCCCGGAAAGUCGGCCAGCGAAGAUA